CAUGUCCUUUUGAAAAUAAUUUAAGGUCUAAUCUGCUCAAUGAAUUUUAAAUAGCCGCAGUAUUUUGACUGUGCAAAGGUAGCAUAAUAAUUAGUUUCUUGAUUAGAAACUGGAAUGAAUGAUUGGACAAGAAAAUUACUGUCUCUAUCUUAAUAAUUUUUGAAUUUUAUUUUUAAGUGAAAAAGCUUAAAUUUUUAUAAAAGACGAGAAGACCCUAUAGAGUUUAAUAUUUAAAUUUAAUAAAUAUUUAGAAAUUUUUUUUAAAUUUAUUUAUUUGAUUGGGGUGAUGUAAAGAUUAAAUAAAUUCUUUAAAUAAUUAAUUGAAAAUUUUCAAAUUUUAAAUCUAUAGUUUAUAAGACUAAAACAAAUUACCUUAGGGAUAACAGCGUAAUUUUUUUUUAAAGUUCAUAUUAAAAGAAAAGUUUGCGACCUCGAUGUUGGAUUAAAAUUAAUUUUUGGUGCAAUAACUUAAAAAUUGGGUCUGUUCGACCUUUAAAAUUUUACAUGAUCUGAGUUUAGACCGGCGUGAGCCAGGUUGGAUUCUAUCUUUAAAAAAUAUUUUAUAUUUUAGUACGAAAGGACCAAAUAUUAAUUAAAUUA
rnacentral:rRNA from 1 species